CUAAUACAAGCCUAACAAGAGUACAACUCUACAAGACUCACAAAGUCACAUUUCGGCCCAUAUUAAAAACUGAAAUCAACCCACAUAAAAAAAAUAACCCUAAUUUUCUCUCUCUAGUUUCCUUCUCCAAUCUCCAGUUCUCCACCAGCCUACUCUCCACGACUCCAUCAGGCGGCGAUCUCCGAUCAGUUCUGUUAGAUCGGCGGCGAUCUCCCUUCAUUGCUGAUCACUUUCAUGUUCAACUAUAACCGAAGAUGGGGAGGAUGAUAAUGAUAAUGAUAUAGAAGAGGUGGAUAUAAUUGAUAUGGAUGUUGAUGAUAUUAGUAGUGAUGAAGAUUAGUCCUUUCGGAAUAUGGAUAUUGGAUGCUCAAAUCGGAUACAUCAUUGUUAUUUUUUUUUUGUUUGGUCAUUUGUAACAUUGUACUUUUUUUUAUGUUUGGAUUUUUUUUUCAAAGACAAUAUGUAUAAUAUGUGUUACAUUGUAUUUUUAGUUGUAUAACUCUAAUUUAUGCAUUGAACUUGGUUGAAAUGCGUUUUUAUUAAA